rnacentral:rRNA from 1 species
AAAACGACUCUCGGCAACGGAUAUCUCGGCUCUCGCAUCGAUGAAGAACGUAGCGAAAUGCGAUACUUGGUGUGAAUUGCAGAAUCCCGUGAACCAUCGAGUCUUUGAACGUAAGUUACGCCCUAGGCCAUUAGGCUAAGGGCACGCCUACCUGGGCGUCAUGC